ACGGAGUCCGGGAAUGUGGCUUUUCCUACGAGGUCUACAUACUAUUUUUCCGAAAAUCGGGAAUCAUUAAAAUUACGGUAAAUUAUUACUAAUCAUGUUAAAAAUUUCAAAUCAACAUUAUUAUUUUUCCCUUAAAUAAAAGAAGCCAUAAAACAUUAUUUCGUAACUACGGAAACGAAGUACAUAAUUUUAAAUUGUCAAACUUGACGAGUGAAAAGUUUAUUUGUGGCGUCUUUCCAAAGUGUUGAUUUUUUAACGUUUUAAAAAGCCAAAAUAACGUGUAAAAUGAUGAGUGAUGAUGACUGUUCCAUUUCUGGAACCCCCCCAGAACUCACGGAGGCAGUGAAUGCUGUAUCAUUGGAAUUGUUACCAGUAAAAUCUAGAAGUAAGUAUAACUAUGCAUACAACCGCUUCAUGGACUAUCGUACGAAUAAAAAUGUAACUUCUUUCUUGGAAAAUGUUGUAAUGGCAUACUUCUUGGAGCUUGGUUCCAAGAUGAGAUAUUCAACUUUAUGGGCCAAUUAUUCAAUGCUGAAGGCAACCCUUGAAAUUAGACAUGACGUGGAUAUAUCUAAAUAUUCAAAACUUCGGCAUUCCUGAAACGGCAAGCACAUGCCUAUAAGCCAAAAAAAUCCAAGAUUUUAACUAAAGAAGAAGUAAACAAAUUUAUUCAGGAAGCUUCAGAUAAGGAAUAUUUAAUGAUUAAGGUAGCUGUAAUAUUUGGAAUUUCCGGAGCUUGCAGAAUGGACGAGCUGGUUAAAAUGACUGUACAAGAUAUACAAGACCUACUAUCUAAACUUUUAGUUACCAUACCGGAUUCAAAAACCAAUAUAUCAAGAUCAUUUAUAGUAAACGAAAUGUACUUAAAUCUAUACCGCAAUACCAAAAUCAAAAAGUAUUAGGAAUUCACCAAUUUAGAAACAUGCCUAAAAUAGUGGCCAGUUGUUUGAAUUUGCCAAAUUCGAAAGAAUAUACCGACCACUGUUUUCGUCGGUCUUCUGCCACAAUGCUUGUUGAUUCUGGUGGAGAUAUUUCUAGUUUAAAGAGACUGGGUGGAUGGAAAUCAACAAACGUCGCUGAAGGAUAUAUAGAAGAGUCUCUUACUAAUAAGGAAGAAGUGGCAAAUAAAAUGUUCACAGCAGAAAAAAAUCAAGAAAGUAAAUCUAAUAUUACUAAUACUGCAGUAACACCCAAUAUUAGUUAUUGUCAUACAAAUAAAAUUAUUAGUUUGGAAAAUAUUAAAUAAAAUAAUGCUAUUAGUUCCCAAGUUCUUCCAGUUUUCAAUACUUGUACUAAU